rnacentral:misc_RNA from 1 species
GAUGAAGAACGUAGCGAAAUGCGAUAAGUAAUGUGAAUUGCAGAAUUCAGUGAAUCAUCGAAUCUUUGAACGCACCUUGCGCCUUUUGGUAUUCCGAAAGGCACACCUGUUUGAGCGUCAUGAAUACCUCAAUCUCCAUCUUUUCUUCGGAUUGAUGGGUGACUUGGAUGUUGAGCCCUGCUGGUAUGCUAUAUCAGCUGGCUUUAAACUUAUUAGCCGGCUCUGUACUGGAUCGGUUUGACUCGACGUGAUAAUAUUAUCGUUGAGGAUGCAUGUCUCAUGCAGCCGGAAAGUAUCAAAUCAGCUUCUAGCUUGCCUUUAGUGCACUUUUACAUUUUAGACCUCAGAUCAGGUGGGACUACCCGCUGAACUUAAGCAUAUCAAUAAGCGGAGGA